GUGCUUGUUUCAGCAACUCAUGUACUAAAAUUGGAACAACACAGGAAUUAGCAUUGCCCCUUCACAAGAAUGGCAUGAAUAUUCAUGACACAUUCCCUAUUUUA